UACGGGAGGCAGCAGUGGGGAAUAUUGCACAAUGGGCGCAAGCCUGAUGCAGCCAUGCCGCGUGUAUGAAGAAGGCCUUCGGGUUGUAAAGUACUUUCAGUCGUGAGGAAGGUGUUAAGGUUAAUAACCUUAGCAAUUGACGUUAGCGACAGAAGAAGCACCGGCUAACUCCGUGCCAGCAGCCGCGGUAAUACGGAGGGUGCGAGCGUUAAUCGGAAUUACUGGGCGUAAAGGGCACGCAGGCGGUUAAUUAAGUUGGAUGUGAAAUCCCCGGGCUUAACCUGGGAAUGGCAUUCAAGACUGGUUAGCUAGAGUCUUGUAGAGGGGGUUAGAAUUCCAUGUGUAGCGGUGAAAUGCGUAGAGAUGUGGAGGAAUACCGGUGGCGAAGGCGGCCCCUGGACAAAGGACUGACGCUCAUGUGCGAAAGCGUGGGGAGCGAAAC
rnacentral:rRNA from 1 species